GACGAACGCUGGCGGCGUGCCUAACACAUGCAAGUCGAACGCGUCUGUGCUUCGGCACAGAUGAGUGGCGAACGGGUGAGUAACGCGUGAGUAACUCCCCUUGGGGAGGGGGAUAACCAUCUGAAAAGGUGGCUAAUACCCCAUAUUCUCUUUUCUCAUAAGAGGAAGGAGGAAAGGUGGCGCAAGCUGCCACCCCGAGAGAGGCUCGCGUCCCAUCAGCUAGUUGGUAGGGUAAUGGCCUACCAAGGCUAUGACGGGUAGCUGGUCUGAGAGGAUGGUCAGCCACACUGGGACUGAGACACGGCCCAGACUCCUACGGGAGGCAGCAGUGAGGAAUCUUGGGCAAUGGGCGAAAGCCUGACCCAGCGACGCCGCGUGGAGGAAGAAGGCCUGGUCGUAACGUACCUCGUUGGGUAGGAAGAACGAAAGAAGAGAAGUAAAUAAGUACUUCUCUCUCUGUACGGUAGUCCCGGACGAAACGGACUACCGGCCGUAACUUAACGUAGUCCACGCACGACCC
rnacentral:rRNA from 1 species